rnacentral:rRNA from 1 species
GGAAUUUCGCCCUUAGUUUGAUCCUGGCUCAGGACGAACGCUGGCGGCGCGCCUAACACAUGCAAGUCGAACGGGGUUAUACGGGAUGAAGUUUUCGGAUGGAAUUCGGUAUAACCUAGUGGCGGACGGGUGAGUAACACGUGAGCAACCUGCCUAUCAGAGGGGGAUAACGAUUGGAAACGAUCGCUAAUACCGCAUGACAUAGCGGGAAGGCAUCUUCCUGCUAUCAAAGAUUUAUCGCUGAUAGAUGGGCUCGCGUCCGAUUAGAUAGUUGGUGAGGUAACGGCUCACCAAGUCGACGAUCGGUAGCCGGACUGAGAGGUCGAACGGCCACAUUGGGACUGAGACACGGCCCAGACUCCUACGGGAGGCAGCAGUGGGGGAUAUUGCACAAUGGGGGAAACCCUGAUGCAGCGACGCCGCGUGAGGGAAGACGGUCCUCUGGAUUGUAAACCUCUGUCUUCGGGGACGAAACGGGACGGUACCCGAGGAGGAAGCCACGGCUAACUACGUGCCAGCAGCCGCGGUAAUACGUAGGUGGCAAGCGUUGUCCGGAAUUACUGGGUGUAAAGGGAGCGUAGGCGGGCAGGCAAGUCAGGCGUGAAAUAUAUCGGCUCAACCGGUAUCUGCGCUUGAAACUGCAGGUCUUGAGUGAAGUAGAGGUUGGCGGAAUUCCUAGUGUAGCGGUGAAAUGCGUAGAUAUUAGGAGGAACACCAGUGGCGAAGGCGGCCAACUGGGCUUUUACUGACGAUGAGGCUCGAAAGUGUGGGGAGCAAACAGGAUUAGAUACCCUGGUAGUCCACGCCGUAAACGAUGGAUACUAGGUGUGGAAGGUAUUGACCCCUUCCGUGCCGCAGUUAACACAAUAAGUAUCCCACCUGGGGAGUACGGCCGCAAGGUUGAAACUCAAAUGAAUUGACGGAAGGGCGAAU